AUGCAAGAACACCUUAGACGUAUUCAUAAAAAAAUAAUUCAUUAUCAUUAUAUCAGUCAUAAAAUUCCGAAUGAGUUGAUAUCCCUUUUGGCUUCUCACAUCACAAGUUCUACUAUAAAGGUUGUUAAAGACACCAAGUAUUUUUCUCAGAUCCCGGAUUGUGCCCCUGAUGUCAGUCAUUAAUAACAAAUGACUUUAUUAGUUUGAUGUGUUAAUUUGCCUGAUGGCAGAGGAGUAUUUUCUGGGUUCUUGAAGGUGGAUGACACUUUUGCCUUAGGGAUUUUUAAAGUACUUCUUGAAUCUAUGGAGUCCUUUGGCCUAAAUAUUAAAGAUAUAAGGGGUCAAAGCUAUGAAAAUGGUUCUAAUAUGAAAGGUAACGGGGAGUAUAAUGUAGGUAACUUGAUAUGA
rnacentral:rRNA from 1 species